rnacentral:rRNA from 1 species
GAUGAACGCUGGCGGCGUGCUUAACACAUGCAAGUCGAACGAUGAAGCCCAGCUUGCUGGGUGGAUUAGUGGCGAACGGGUGAGUAACACGGGAGUAACCUGCCCUUAACUCUGGGAUAAGCCUGGGAAACUGGGUCUAAUACCUGAGAGGAGCGGCCACCGCAGGGGGGGUGUUGGAAAGAUUUAUCGUUGUUGGAUGGACUCGCGGCCUAUUAGCUUGUUGGUGAGGUAAUGGCUCACCAAGGCGACGACGGGUAGCCGGCCUGAGAGGGUGACCGGCCACACUGCGACUGAGACACGGCCCAGACUGCUACGGGAGGCAGCAGUGGGGAGUAUUGCACAAUGGGCGCAAGCCUGAUGCAGCGACGCCGCGUGAGGGAUGACGGCCUUCGGGUUGUAAACCUCUUUCAGUAGGGAAGCAGCGAAAGUGACGGUACCUGAAGAAGAAGCACCGGCUAACUACGUG